rnacentral:rRNA from 1 species
GCCCAACACACAAAACAAGCGGUGAGUGCUUUGGGGUGGGGUGACUGCGUACCUUUUGUAUAAUGGGUCAGCGACUUAUAUUCUGUAGCAAGGUUAACCGUAUAGGGGAGCCGAAGGGAAACCGAGUCUUAACUGGGCGUUAAGUUGCAGGGUAUAGACCCGAAACCCGGUGAUCUAGCCAUGGGCAGGUUGAAGGUUGGGUAACACUAACUGGAGGACCGAACCGACUAAUGUUGAAAAAUUAGCGGAUGACUUGUGGCUGGGGGUGAAAGGCCAAUCAAACCGGGAGAUAGCUGGUUCUCCCCGAAAGCUAUUUAGGUAGCGCCUCGUGAACUCAUCUUCGGGGGUAGAGCACUGUUUCGGCUAGGGGGUCAUCCCGACUUACCAACCCGAUGCAAACUGCGAAUACCGAAGAAUGUUAUCACGGGAGACACACGGCGGGUGCUAACGUCCGUCGUGAAGAGGGAAACAACCCAGACCGCCAGCUAAGGUCCCAAAGUCACAGUUAAGUGGGAAACGAUGUGGGAAGGCUCAGACAGCCAGGAUGUUGGCUUAGAAGCAGCCAUCAUUUAAAGAAAGCGUAAUAGCUCACUGGUCGAGUCGGCCUGCGCGGAAGAUGUAACGGGGCUAAACUGUGCACCGAAGCUGCGGCAGCGACGCUUAUGCGUUGUUGGGUAGGGGAGCGUUCUGUAAGCCUGCGAAGGUGUCCUGUGAGGGAUGCUGGAGGUAUCAGAAGUGCGAAUGCUGACAUAAGUAACGAUAAUGCGGGUGAAAAGCCCGCUCGCCGGAAGACCAAGGGUUCCUGUCCAACGUUAAUCGGGGCAGGGUGAGUCGACCCCUAAGGCGAGGCCGAAAGGCGUAGUCGAUGGGAAACGGGUUAAUAUUCCCGUACUUGGUGUUACUGCGAAGGGGGGACGGAGAAGGCUAUGUUGGCCGGGCGACGGUUGUCCCGGUUUAAGCGUGUAGGCUGGUUUUCCAGGCAAAUCCG